rnacentral:lncRNA from 1 species
GGAUGGUGUCUGAGGGUCAGAUUCAGCAUGAGGGAUCUGGUCAACAUAAUUCUCAUAGUCAUUACAAAUCUCAUAAUCCUGGAUGGAUUCAGUGGAUCUAGCAGGAGUUGGGGUUUCAUUCAGGUUAUAGAGCCAGUUCCUUUGGUUAUGAACACUAGUCCUAGGAUCGGGCAUGGUGAAUAGGCAGAGAACCUGGUUAUCA